GACGAACGCUGGCGGCGUGCUUAACACAUGCAAGUCGAACGGAAAGGCCCUGCUUUUGUGGGGUGCUCGAGUGGCGAACGGGUGAGUAACACGUGAGUAACCUGCCCUUGACUUUGGGAUAACUUCAGGAAACUGGGGCUAUUACCGCAUAGGAGCUCCUGCUGCAUGGUGGGGGUUGGUAAGUUUCGGCGGUUGGGGAUGGAAUCGCGGCUUAUCAGCUUGAUGGUGGGGUAGUGGCUUACCAUGGUUUGGACGGGUAGCCGGCCUGAGAGGCGGACAGGACACAUUGGGACUGAAAUGCGGCACAGACUCCUACGGGAGGGAGCGGUGGGGAAGAGUGCACAAUGGGCGGAAGCCUAGUGCAGCAACGCCGCGUGCGGGAAGACGGCCUUCGGGUUGUAAACCGCAUUCGCCUGUGACGAAGCGUGAGUGACGGUAAUGGGUAAAGAAGCACCGGCUAACUACGUG
rnacentral:rRNA from 1 species